UUUUAUUGCCUAUAAUGAGAAGGAUGUUAGCUACAGAUGGACAAGGUAUAUAUGCUACUCUGAGAUCUCAUUUCCAGUUAUGUAGUUCUUGAAUUGUCUAUGCUCUUUUACUUCUUGAAUUGUUUCGUUGUUCACAUCAUUUACCAAGACUUGGUUGUUGAUGUUUUAAUGUUUAUUUUGCCCAACCAAGGGCAAUCCUCACUCACCUUGUGAUAGCUGCAGACUUGUGUUCAUAGUCUGUGCAUUUACACUAGGAUCAUCAUUCAAUAGUUGGUUCUAGUGGAAUGUGGCAACUUCCUCAUUCUUCUUUUCUUUUCUUCAAGUUUUAUCGUGGUUUUAGUUUAAGACCAUUGCUACUUGCUAAUGCCUAUCUAUUUAAAAUUCAUCUGCUAUUUUUUAGCGGUUCAAAAAUUACUUACUAGUUUAUCAAAUUGUCUAUUUAGUCGUGAUUAUUAGUAUGCCUUUAUUACUGAAUGCUAGUUGGUUGGGGCUAUGGAGCUUGGGAUGCUUGGAACUAUCUCACUGAUUUGUAUUGUAUUUGUUUAGGAUGCUAUGUCAUGAUUUUCCAAUUAAUCAUAUCUAAGGCCAUUUCCUGAUUUGAAUUAUGAUUGGAAUGAAUACUUGAUUCAUUGGAAUGUUUGCAUGGAUAUGAAUCCUAAGGAGUGAUGUGUGACUAAGUGUAACAGAACUUUAAAGUUUGUUCCCUUGUGUUCUAAUUAAAUUGUAAUCACUUUCCUUAACAUUCAAAAAUUGAGGGACUGGGCUCAAAAAUGCAAUACCACAAACAAAAGGUAUCAUCAGGCAAGGUGCAACUUGCUGGAUCAAAACAACUCAUCCUUGCUUCCAAAUUACCCUCAAAUCAGCAAGUGAGUUUUAAAUUGUUUUAACGUGAGAAGCAUGAUCAUCUAGAGAUUUGGUUAGGAAUUCAGCUACAUGCUUGUUAUCUUCCCCAUCUCUUCGUUCUUCUCCUUCUAUCUUUUAAACUUAAAAUCUUUCCUUGUACCAGUGAAUAUUAAUCUUAUAGACAUGUCUUGCAAGUACUGCCACAGUUGGCAUUGUAUCGCCAGAAGGUCCAAAAGAAAAGGUGGUGAAACUUAAGCAAGGCAAUGCAAUACCACUGAAUCUUGGAGUGCAUUCAGUGAAGAAGAGAACUAAUGUGUUACUUCUUGGUGAUCACCUUGGAGAUCUAGGAAUGUCUGAUGGUUUGAACUAUGAGAACCAAAUUGCCGUUGGAUUCUUAUGGAAGGACAAUCCAGUAAUACAAGAUUCGUGAAUUCCCAUUAUGUGAUUGCUCCAUAUAAAGAGUACCCACAACUGCUUGGUUUACUAUUGAAAUUGUUAAAGGAGUUGGUGGAUUGGGUUCAAACAGCUAGGGGAU